rnacentral:rRNA from 1 species
AUUGAACGCUGGCGGCAGGCCUAACACAUGCAAGUCGAACGAGUGGCGGACGGGUGAGUAAUGUCUGGGCAACUGCCCGAUGGAGGGGGAUAACUACUGGAAACGGUGGCUAAUACCGCAUACCAUCGGAUGUGCCCACAUGGGAUUAGCUAGUAGGUGGGGUAACGGCUCACCUAGGCGACGAUCCCUAGCUGGUCUGAGAGGAUGACCGGCCACACUGGAACUGAGACACGGUCCAGACUCCUACGGGAGGCAGCAGUGGGGAAUAUUGCACAAUGGGCGCAAGCCUGAUGCAGCCAUGCCGCGUGUAUGAAGAAGGCCUUCGGGUUGUAAAGUACUUUCAGCGGGGAGGCGUUACUCGCAGAAGAAGCACCGGCUAACUCCGUGCCAGCAGCCGCGGUAAUUC